rnacentral:rRNA from 1 species
GGUUGAUCCUGCCAGUAGUCAUAUGCUUGUGUUAAAGAUUAAGCCAUGCAUGUCUAAGUAUAAAUCUUCUAUACGGUGAAACUGCGAAUGGCUCAUUAAAUCAGUUAUUGUUUAUUUGGUGGUACCAUCUACUUGGAUAACCCUGUUAAUUGUAGAGCUAAUACAUGCCAGAAGUCUCGACUGGGGGCAACCCUGGAAGGGAUGCACUUGUUAGCCAGGCAAACCAAUGCAGGCCCUCGUGGUCUGGAUCACGGUGAGUCAUGACAAUUGAGCGAAUCGCAUGGCCCAGCGCCGGCGAUGCUCCAUUCAAAUUUCUGCCCUAUCAACUUUCGAUGGUAGGAUAGGGGCCUACCAUGGUUGUAACGGGUAACGGGGAAUUAGGGUUUGAUUCCGGAGAGGGAGCCUGAGAAACGGCUACCACUUCCAAGGAAGGCAGCAGGCGCGCAAAUUACCCAAUGGCGACACGCCGAGGUAGUGACAACAAAUAACAAUACAGGUCCCUAUCGGGUCUUGUAAUUGGAAUGAGUACAAUUCAAAACCCUUAACGAGGAACAACUGGAGGGCAAGUCUGGUGCCAGCAGCCGCGGUAAUUCCAGCUCCAGUAGCGUAUAUUAAAGCUGUUGCGGUUAAAAAGCUCGUAGUUGGAUUUCGGGGCUUUGGUAGGCUGGUCUGCGCACGUCGUAUGCACUAACCACCUGGUCCCUCGCCUUCUGGAUGCUCGUCGCUGCUCUUCAUUGAGUGGCGGUCAAGGGUGGCGGCCCCGCCGUCGCCCGGAGUUCCAGAUCUUUUACUUUGAAAAAAUUAGAGUGUUCAAAGCAGGCGGUUUGAGCCUUGAAUAUCGCAGCAUGGGAUAAUGCCAUAGGACUCUGUUCCUAUAUCGUUGGUUUCUAGGGAUGGAGUAAUGAUUAAUAGGGACAGUUGGGGUGAUUAAUAUUUAAUUGUCAGAGGUGAAAUUCUUGGAUUUCUGAAAGAUUAACUUCUGCGAAAGCAUUUCACAAGGAUGUUUUCAUUAAUCAAGAACGAAAGUUGGGGGAUCGAAGACGAUCAGAUACCGUCGUAGUCUCAACCUUAAACGAUGCCGACCAGGGAUCGGAAGACGUUACGUUGAUGACUCCUCCGGCACCUUGUGAGAAAUCACAAGUGUUUGGGCUUCGGGGGGAGUAUGGUCGCAAGGCUGAAACUUAAAGGAAUUGACGGAAGGGCACCACCAGGAGUGGAGCCUGCGGC